UAGCACGUGGGCAAUCUGCCCUUCUGUGGGGGACAACUCCGGGAAACCGGGGCUAAUACCGCAUUCGGUGACCAUUCGCAUGUUUGGUCAAGAAAGCAGCAAUGCGCAGGAGGAUGAGCCCGCGGCCUAUCAGCUAGUUGGUGGGGUAACGGCCUACCAAGGCGAAGACGGGUAGCUGGUCUGAGAGGACGACCAGCCACACGGGGACUGCGACACGGCCCCG
rnacentral:rRNA from 1 species